rnacentral:lncRNA from 1 species
CUCAAAGCAUGCGCCCUUUAAUGGGGAGUUCAGGGUUUAGUGGCCAACCAGUUGCUCCAUUUUCUGCACCACCUCAAGGGACACCAUUUUAUGCACCACCUCAAGGGACACCAUUUUCAGCACCACCUCAAGGGGCACCAUUCUAUGCACCACCUCAAGGGACACCAUUUUCAGCACCACCUCAAGGGACACCAUUUUCAGCACAGCAAGGGAUGACACCACCACCUAUAGGUUCUCCUUUUGCACCACAGAUGCAACCACAGUCUGU